rnacentral:rRNA from 1 species
UACAGAGACCCCGAGCGUUACCCGGAUUUAUUGGGCGUAAAGGGUUCGUAGGUGGUUUAGUAAGUUGGCGGUUAAAGCUCAUCGGCUUAACCUUUGAGAUGCUGCCAAUACUGCUAGACUAAGAGGGCGUUAGAGGUGAACGGAACCGAUGGAGUAGGGGUGAAAUCCGUUGAUAUCAUCGGGAACACCAAAAGCGAAGGCAGUUCACUGGGGCGACCCUGACACUGAGGAACGAAAGCGUGGGGAGCAAAAAGG